rnacentral:rRNA from 1 species
AGAGUUUGAUUCUGGCUCAGAACGAACGCUUGCAGCGUGGAUUAGGCAUGCAAGUCGAACGGGAAGCCCCUUUUUCAAUCUUCGGAGAGAAGUUGGGGUGGAGAGUGGCGAAAGGGUGAGUAACGCGUGGGUAAUCUACCCUCAAGUUGGGGAUAACACUCCGAAAGGAGUGCUAAUACCGAAUGUGGUUCCCCGACGAUGGUCGGGGUAAUUGAAGAUGGGGACCCUUCGGGGCCUAUCGCUUGGGGAGGAGCCCGCGUCCCAUCAGCUUGUUGGUAAGGUAACGGCUUACCAAGGCAUACGGGUAGCUGGUCUGAGAGGAUGGUCAGCCACACUGGGACUGAGACACUGCCCAGACUCCUACGGGAGGCUGCAGUCGAGGAUCAUUUGCAAUGCGCGAAAGCGUGACAAUGCGACGCUGCGUGGAGGAUGACGGCCUUAGGGUUGUAAACUCCUGUCAUUCGGAAAAAUGGUCCCGCCCCCAAUACGGGCGGGAGUUGAUGGUACCGGAAGAGGAAGCCACGGCUAACUCUGUGCCAGCAGCCGCGGUAAUACAGAGGUGGCGAGCGUUGUUCGGAUUUACUGGGCGUAAAGAGUGCGUAGGUGGUUGCGUGUGUCGAAUGUGAAAGCCCGCCGCUCAACGGCGGAACUGCAUUCGAAACUGCGUGGCUAGAGUCUAGGAGGGGAGAGCGGAAUUCUUGGUGUAGCGGUGAAAUGCGUUGAUAUCAAGAAGAACACCGGCGGCGAAGGCGGCUCUCUGGAAUAGUACUGACACUGAGGCACGAAAGCUGGGGGAGCAAACAGGAUUAGAUACCCUGGUAGUCCCAGCCGUAAACGGUGUGCACUUGGUGUGGGGGGCGUCAAACCCUCCCGUGCCGGAGCUAACGCGUUAAGUGCACCGCCUGGGGAGUACGGCCGCAAGGCUAAAACUCAAAGAAAUUGACGGGGGCCCGCACAAGCGGAGGAGCAUGUGGCUUAAUUCGAUGCAACGCGAAGAACCUUACCAGGGCUUGACAUGGCGACCCUUCGGGGGUGGGAGCGAAAGUUCCCUUUGCGAUCACAGGUGCUGCAUGGCUGUCGUCAGUUCGUGCCGUGAGGUGUUGGGUUAAGUCCCGCAACGAACGCAACCCUUGUGCUUAGUUGCCACUCCCGGUGUUGAGCCGGGAAGCACUCUAGGCAGACUGCCCGUACAAGCGGGAGGAAGGUGGGGACGACGUCAAGUCAGUAUGGCCCUUACGCCCUGGGCUGCACACGUGCUACAAUGGUCGGUACAGAUGGAUGCAAUACCGCGAGGUGGAGCCAAUCCUCAAAACCGGCCUCAGUUCGGAUUGGAGUCUGCAACUCGACUCCAUGAAGUCGGAUUCGCUAGUAACGGCGCAUCAGCUACGGCGCCGUGAAUACGUUCCCGGGCCUUGUACACACCGCCCGUCACAUCAUGAAAGCCGUCUGCACCCGAAGUCGCUGAGCCAACCAUUUAUGGAGGCAGGUGCCGAAGGUGUGGGUGGUGAUUGGGAUGAAGUCGUAACAAGGUA